GAUGGCGACCGGCGCACGGGUGAGUAACACGUAUCCAACCUGCCGAUGACUCGGGGGAUAGCCUUUCGAAAGAAAGAUUAAUACCCGAUGGCAUAGUUCUUCCGCAUGGUGGAACUAUUAAAGAAUUUCGGUUAUCGAUGGGGAUGCGUUCCAUUAGUUUGUUGGCGGGGUAACGGCCCACCAAGACUACGAUGGAUAGGGGUUCUGAGAGGAAGGUCCCCCACAUUGGAACUGAGACACGGUCCAAACUCCUACGGGAGGCAGCAUG
rnacentral:rRNA from 1 species